rnacentral:rRNA from 1 species
CUGCUGCCUCCCGUAGGAGUUUGGGCCGUGUCUCAGUCCCAAUGUGGCCGGUCGCCCUCUCAGGUCGGCUACUGAUCGUCGGCUUGGUAGGCUUCUACCCCACCAACUACCUAAUCAGACGCGGGCCCAUCUUACACCACCUCAGUUUUUACCUCUGUACCAUGCGGUACUGGGGUCUUAUGCGGUAUUAGCAAUCAUUUCUAAUUGUUAUCCCCCUGUGUAAGGCAGGUUGCCCACGCGUUACUCACCCGUCCGCCGCUAAGUCA